rnacentral:rRNA from 1 species
CCUACGGGAGGCAGCAGUGGGGGAUAUUGCACAAUGGGGGAAACCCUGAUGCAGCGACGCCGCGUGGGCGAAGAAGUAUUUCGGUAUGUAAAGCCCUAUCAGCAGGGAAGAAGAAAUGACGGUACCUGAGUAAGAAGCACCGGCUAAAUCCGUGCCAGCAGCCGCGGUAAUACGUAUGGUGCAAGCGUUAUCCGGAUUUACUGGGUGGAAAGGGAGCGCAGGCGGCACGGUAAGCCUGAUGUGAAAGCCCGGGGCCCAACCGCGGGACUGCAUUGGGAACUACCGGGCUGGAGUGCCGGAGAGGUAGGUAGAAUUCCAGGUGUAGCGGUGAAAUGCGUAGAGAUUUGGAGGAACACCAGUGGCGAAGGCGGCCUACUGGACGAUGACUGACGCUGAGGCUCGAAAGCGUGGGGAGCAAACAGGAUUAGAUACCCUAGUAGUC